rnacentral:rRNA from 1 species
AUUGAACGCUGGCGGCAGGCCUAACACAUGCAAGUCGAGCGAGUGGCGGACGGGUGAGUUAUGUAUGGGGACCGCCCGAUAGAGGGGGAUAACCACUGGACACGGUGGCUUACACCGCAUACUAUCGUAUCACCCAUAUGGGAUUCGCGAGUAGGUGGGGUAAAGGCACACCUGGGCGACGAUCUCUAGCUGGUCUGAGAGGGUGAUCAGGCACACUGGGACUGAGACACGGCCCAGACUCCUUCGGAGGCAGCAGUGGGGAAUAUUGCACAAUGGGCGCAAGCCUGAUGCAGCCAUUCCGUGGGGAUGAAGAAGGCCUUAGGGUUGUAAAAUACUUUCAGCGGGGAGGCGUUACCCGCAGAAAGAGCAACGGCUAACUCCGUGCCAGCAGGCGGGGGAAUAC